rnacentral:rRNA from 1 species
ACGCUGGCGGCAUGCCUUACACAUGCAAGUCGAACGGCAGCACGGAGCUUGCUCUGGUGGCGAGUGGCGAACGGGUGAGUAAUAUAUCGGAACGUACCCUGGAGUGGGGGAUAACGUAGCGAAAGUUACGCUAAUACCGCAUACGAUCUACGGAUGAAAGUGGGGGAUCGCAAGACCUCAUGCUCGUGGAGCGGCCGAUAUCUGAUUAGCUAGUUGGUAGGGUAAAAGCCUACCAAGGCAUCGAUCAGUAGCUGGUCUGAGAGGACGACCAGCCACACUGGAACUGAGACACGGUCCAGACUCCUACGGGAGGCAGCAGUGGGGAAUUUUGGACAAUGGGCGAAAGCCUGAUCCAGCAAUGCCGCGUGAGUGAAGAAGGCCUUCGGGUUGUAAAGCUCUUUUGUCAGGGAAGAAACGGUGAGGGCUAAUAUCCCUUGCUAAUGACGGUACCUGAAGAAUAAGCACCGGCUAACUACGUGCCAGCAGCCGCGGUAAUACGUAGGGUGCAAGCGUUAAUCGGAAUUACUGGGCGUAAAGCGUGCGCAGGCGGUUUGUAAGUCUGAUGUGAAUCCCGGGCUCAACCUGGGAAUUGCAUUGGAGACUGCAAGGGCU